CAAAAAAAUCUUUGUCUGACCUGCGCUGGUGAAUUUGCCUUGAUGGUGAGAAGAUUAAGAAAUUAUGAGUGGAGGAUCUGAAGUCCACAUUUUUUGGGGUGCUCCGCUUGGUCCACUGAAAAUGACAGUAUCACAGGGAAGUUCCUUAAUGUCCACAGCUAACCCCUGGGAAAAAAUCCAGCUUUUAUACAAUCAGUAUUCUUUAUAUCUGAAAGAUGAAAACCAGGAACCCCCAAAUUUGAAAGACUGUCAAGCUCCAAAAGCUAUUGGCCCUGCAGAGCUUCUUAGUGGCCAUUUUUCAGUAACCUGUAUGAGUAGAUCUGUUCAGGUAAAAGAUGACUUCAUACAUUCUACUUCUGAAACACAGAAUAUACAAGCUCAGAAGACUGACCCCCAAGGGCUGAGUGAUAUGACCAAUUGUAAUGUGCAAAUAUGUGGAUUUAAGGGCAGAGUUCAGCAUUUACCUGAAGAAGAAAAUCAUCAAAAGCUACAAUGUGAAAAUAAAAAAAUGAUAGAUGAACAGCCUCAAAAUCAGUCAAAUAUUUAUGGUGAAAACUUUCAGACAGAUCAGUUUGGAGCUAUAUUGGAUUUGAACUGUAGUACUUUGCAGAUCAAUGUAAGGCCAGAAGCUGUAGGAACGAAGCGUGUGUCAACAGAAUUUUCUCAUGAAAUCCAGAGCCAGCAAGUAGAGCUCUGUUGCUCUUACACACAGGCUGAUCCAGGGUCUGAAGGGGCAUUCAGGAGUGCUGCAGAGCUGAAAGUAUCUACUGACACUGAAUUUCUCAGCAUUAUGACUUCUAGCCAACUUGCUUUUUUAGCUCAAGGGAAGGAUAAAGGGCAAAAUUCUAUAAAUAAAGGUACCCUAAACAUGCAGACUGAACCAACAGGAAGCCAUGGGGAAGAACACAUAAUUGAAGAUAAUUUGGUUAGGGCUAGUGAUGAUUUUGGAGACAAACAUGAAAGUGGACAGAACCAAACAUGUUCUCUAGAACUUUUCAGUCCCGAGUGUCCUGAAUCAAAAAGUAGACACAUUUACAUAAACUCCGAAAAAGGUCUUGAAGAAAGUAUAGACUCUCCAGAAGUUUUCAAUAAUGAAGAUAAACUGCCACCAAAUGAGAUACAUAUUGAGUUGUGUAGCUCUGGAAUAUUGUGUUCCCAACUAAAUACCUGCCAGCAAAGUGCUAUUAAAAGAAGUUGGGCCUCUGAAGAUAAAUCUGCUCAUUCCAAAACUCUGUCUGAAGUUUGUCCAGUGUCUAAGAAGCCCCGAGUGGAUGUGAAUGCAGGAGAGUCAGCCAUCACAGUGCCUCAAAGGACUGUGUCUGAAUUCAAGGACACUAAAAAAAUAACAUCAGUAAGAAGUUGUGAUUCUAAAUGUCAGAAAUAUAAUUGUUUGCUGAUGGUGCUAACCCCAUGUCAUGUGAAGGAAAUAAACAUAAAAUCUGGGCCAAGUUCUGGUUCUAAAGUGCCAUUAGCAACAAUUACAGUAAUUGACCAAUCAGAAAUGAAGAAGAAGGUUGUCCUGUGGAGGACUGCAGCAUUUUGGGCACUUACACUGUUUCCUGGUGAUAUAAUUUUACUCACAGAUGUUGCUGUUCAUGAAGAUCAAUGGGUUGGUGAGACGGUACUCCAAUCAACAUUUACCAGUCAGUUAUUAAACCUUGGGAAUUAUUCAUCUGUUAAGUCUGAAGAAUAUUUCAAUGUAGUUGACAGUGUUGUGCUUCAGGACUUACUGUCAUAUGUGUCUUCAAAAUAUUCCUAUCUCCAAGAUCUUCCUCAAAGGCAGCCUCAAAAAGUGAACACUAUUGAGUUUGCGGAAUUGGAGCAGCUGCAGCCUGAUAAAUUAGUCCAUGCAGUACUAAGAGUGGUGGAUGUUACUAUACUAACAGAGGCAGUCUAUACGUACAGAGGACAUAAGCAAAGGAAAGUUGUGGUAACAGUGGAACAGGUCCAAGGUCAGCAUUAUGUGCUUGUAUUAUGGGGUCCUGCAAUAGCCUGGUACCCUCAACUUCAAAGGAAAAAAGACUGUAUUUGGGAAUUUAAAAAUCUUUUUGUUCAGCGCAAUUGCAUACUAGAAAACUUAGAAUUACACACAACACUGUGGUCAUCUUGUGAGUGCCUGUUUGAUGAUGAUGUGAGGGCAAUUACGUUUAAAGCAAAGUUUCAAGAACGUACCCUCUCCUUUGUCAAGACAUCAGACUUAGCAACCCACCUGAAGGAUAAGUUUUCAGGAGUGGUUAUGAUUAAAGCCAAGAUUUCAGAGCUGGCAUUUUCCACUGCAGGAGCUCAGAAGAUAGCUCUGAAUGCUCAUAGUUCCCUGAAGAGGAUCUUCUCCUCUCUUCCUAACAUUAUAUAUGUUGGGUGUGCACAGUGCGGAUUAGAACUCGAACCAGAUGAGAACAGGAUCUACAGACAGUGUUUUAGCUGCUUGCCAUUUUCUAGGAAGAAAACAUACUACAGGCCAGCUUUAAUGACUGUUGUUGAUGGAAGACAGACUAUCUCUGUCCAUGUAGGAUCAAAGUUGAUGGAGCAGAUUCUUCUCAACAUUCCUCCAGACUGCCUCAACAAAGUGAUAGGCUCUCCUUGGUUGUUGUGUUCCACCCGCAGGCUUGGGAGCACCUGGCAGAGUACCUUCCUCAGAGAUCACCUAUGGCAUGGUUGCGGCAGACCUGCUCCAGUCCUUGUUGGUGGCCAGUGCGGAACCUUGUGUGUUGAAGAUUCAGAGCCUUUUUGAGUUGGAUGAAAACAGCUACCCACUGCAUCAGGAUUUCUACCUGCUGGAUUUCUGCCUUGACCUGUGUAAGGCACCGGGUCCAGAUCCUUCUCUGGGGCCAGCGGAAGACACUCAGCGGAGACUACCUGCACAAGAUUUACACAAGAUGUGGCCUAUCA